UGCGUCAUCUCAUGCAAGUGAUGCAAGUCCAGAAUUGUCCAGAAAGCUAUCCGCAUCAGCAGCACCAUUCUGCCCUUCCCCAGCCAUUCCCCGCGUACCACCAUUACCUAUGAACAUUAAUCUCCCUUCUCCUGGAACACGACCACCUAUUGGUCCUUGGUCAGUGAACAUGUCUCUUCAUCAAGGACCACCGACCAUCUUGCCUAGUCCAAUGUGCUCCUCCCCUCAUCACCUGUACCCUUCACCUCCACACACCCCAAACAUGAUGCACCCAUUGCGCUUUAUCUACCCUCCGUAUUCUCAACCCCAGACGUUACCUCCAAGUACAUUCCCCAUGAAUAACAGCACUUUCCAUCCGAAUCAUUAUGCUUGGCAAUGCAAUAUAGCUCCUAAU
rnacentral:lncRNA from 1 species